UGGGGAAUUUUGGACAAUGGGCGAAAGCCUGAUCCAGCAAUGCCGCGUGUGUGAAGAAGGCCUUCGGGUUGUAAAGCACUUUUGUCCGGAAAGAAAUCCUUGGCUCUAAUACAGUCGGGGGAUGACGGUACCGGAAGAAUAAGCACCGGCUAACUACGUGCCAGCAGCCGCGGUAAUACGUAGGGUGCAAGCGUUAAUCGGAAUUACUGGGCGUAAAGCGUGCGCAGGCGGUUUGCUAAGACCGAUGUGAAAUCCCCGGGGCUCAACCUGGGAACUGCAUUGGUGACUGGCAGGCUAGAGUAUGGCAGAGGGGGGUAGAAUUCCACGUGUAGCAGUGAAAGUGCGUAGAGAUGUGGAGGAAUACCGAUGGCGAAGGCAGCCCCCCUGGGGCCAAAUACUGACGCUCAUGCACGAAAGCGUGGGGAGCAAACAGGAUUAGAUACCCUGGUAGUCCACGCCCUAAACGAUGUCAACUAGUUGUUGGGGAUUCAUUUCCUAGUAACGUAGCUAACGCGUGAAGUUGACCGCCUGGGGAGUACGGUCGCAAGAUU
rnacentral:rRNA from 1 species